AAAGUCGUAACAAGGUCUCCGUAGGUGAACCUGCGGAGGGAUCAUUAACACGUUUCCAUAACGUUUAACUAACCACCAAAACGCGUGAAUUCAACUGAAUUACAUUAUACCCGCCUUGAGAGGGAGAGAACCUGUCUGUAUACACGGAGUGAUGAGUGUGCUUAUUUUAAUGUUGGCAACAGCAUUAAUUAGGCAUGCGGUGUAUCUAGGCUUGUAAUGCUCGACAUUACGGGAUCUCUCUCAUUCAAGCUAUCAACAAUUAAUCAAUGUUCCCUUCAUCGCUGGAACGAACAACACCCCUUUCACCCCUUUAUAACUAACUAGACUGAUAUUUCUUAACUGUAAGGCUUGCUUUACUUUGAGGAUUGAUUUAAUCAAAUAUCUAAGCACAACUCUUAGCAACGGAUAUCUUGGUUCUC
rnacentral:misc_RNA from 1 species